CGUACUUAAGGGUCCACCCGUGCGCGAUCAGCAUCAUUCAAUUAUCGUCUAAUGUAUCAUGCGGAUAACUAACGAUCCCAAACGUCAAAUUAUUCCUGUAAUGUUUACCGAAAAUAUGGUGGUAGCAGCGUGGUAUUUCAAGUUUUGCCUCAUGGAUUUCACUGCUAGCUUUAAACUGUACCAGAACCACAAAUCGUGCAGUUCGAAUUCUGGAAUAACAUCAGCAGCCGCUUCAUUCAGGUGUCAAUGUCAGCGGAUCAUACGACCAACCAUCAAUAAUUCCUGGAUUAAUACAAAUAUGUGAUGAUAAAAAUUAACAGUAACAUAUAAUGUGUACAGUCGACUCUCCA